rnacentral:rRNA from 1 species
GACGAACGCUGGCGGCGUGCUUAACACAUGCAAGUCGAACGGUAAGGCUCCAGCUUGCUGGGGUACACGAGUGGCGAACGGGUGAGUAACACGUGGGUGACCUGCCCUGCACUUCGGGAUAAGCCUGGGAAACUGGGUCUAAUACCGGAUAGGACCGCACCGUGAGGGUGUGGUGGAAAGUUUUUUCGGUGUGGGAUGGGCCCGCGGCCUAUCAGCUUGUUGGUGGGGUAAUAGCCUACCAAGGCGGCGACGGGUAGCCGGCCUGAGAGGGUGGACGGCCACAUUGGGACUGAGACACGGCCCAGACUCCUACGGGAGGCAGCAGUGGGGAAUAUUGCACAAUGGGCGGAAGCCUGAUGCAGCGACGCCGCGUGGGGGAUGACGGCCUUCGGGUUGUAAACUCCUUUCACCAUCGACGAAGGGUUUCUGACGGUAGAUGGAGAAGAAGCACCGGCUAACUACGUGCCAGCAGCCGCGGUAAUACGUAGGGUGCGAGCGUUGUCCGGAAUUACUGGGCGUAAAGAGCUCGUAGGUGGUUUGUCGCGUCGUCUGUGAAAUUCCGGGGCUUAACUCCGGGCGUGCAGGCGAUACGGGCAUAACUUGAGUACUGUAGGGGAGACUGGAAUUCCUGGUGUAGCGGUGAAAUGCGCAGAUAUCAGGAGGAACACCGGUGGCGAAGGCGGGUCUCUGGGCAGUAACUGACGCUGAGGAGCGAAAGCAUGGGGAGCGAACAGGAUUAGAUACCCUGGUAGUCCAUGCCGUAAACGGUGGGCGCUAGGUGUGGGUUUCCUUCCACGGGAUCCGUGCCGUAGCUAACGCAUUAAGCGCCCCGCCUGGGGAGUACGGCCGCAAGGCUAAAACUCAAAGGAAUUGACGGGGGCCCGCACAAGCGGCGGAGCAUGUGGAUUAAUUCGACGCAACGCGAAGAACCUUACCUGGGCUUGACAUAUACAGGAUCGCGCCAGAGAUGGUGUUUCCCUUGUGGCUUGUAUACAGGUGGUGCAUGGUUGUCGUCAGCUCGUGUCGUGAGAUGUUGGGUUAAGUCCCGCAACGAGCGCAACCCUUGUCUUAUGUUGCCAGCACGUUGUGGUGGGGACUCGUAAGAAACUGCCGGGGUUAACUCGGAGGAAGGUGGGGAUGACGUCAAAUCAUCAUGCCCCUUAUGUCCAGGGCUUCACACAUGCUACAAUGGUCGGUACAGUGGGUUGCCAGUCCGUGAGGGCGAGCUAAUCCCGCAAAGCCGGUCUCAGUUCGGAUCGGGGUCUGCAACUCGACCCCGUGAAGUCGGAGUCGCUAGUAAUCGCAGAUCAGCAACGCUGCGGUGAAUACGUUCCCGGGCCC